AAUACCUGGGUAAAGUCCUUUAGGGAGGUGACCGGUGCUCUUUCCUUCAAGGGAGAAAGGAGAGAUUUAGACUAUGGAAACGUCGUCAAUUCCUCACCGGCCCUUGCCGGAGAGAAGCUCAAAGGGGAAUGGAACGUGGCGCAGCUUCGCGGUCCCUUCCUCAGAGUUGGAGAAGUCUCCGGGCUGAGAGAAGAUCAGCAAUGCUCAUUGCUUCACCUUUUGAGAGCUCUUCGGGAACUCAUGAAUUCCUGGUCGACGUUCCAUUCUUAAUAAUGUUACCCUAUACAAGCCUUGUCAGCUUGGUUGGAUACUGCUUUGAGAGGGGAUGAGGGGUUCUUGGUUUAUGAGUACAUUCCACAAGGUAGCUUGGAAAAUCACUUAAUACAUCCGUAUUGUGCUUUUAUGUGGACGGGUCUGGUUCAUUACAUGCAUUAUUUGCAUGGGCAUGAACCUUGACUUGUUACCACCUCAGAUCUUUGACUAGAAAAUAGUGUAUCAAUCGUUCUAAGGAUGAGUUUACUGAAUUUGAAUUACUUUUUCUUGCCCAAUUGUAUUGUAGCUGUUUCACCAGACAUUCUGUUCAAAGUUGUAUACUCAACCACAAGAGGUUAUUUUUAUCCUUCCCUUAUUUUGCUUUAAGAUUUAUUGCAUGUUCCCCUGUUUUUGGACUGCUUAAUCCAGAAUUAAGUCAAUUUUCCUCUUGAUUCUGCCCCCCAAGACCCAAUUCUGUUCUUGUAAUUCCUACCAGUGGCCCUAUUACUCUCUUCCAUCCCCUGAAAACAGAUAGGUGCCUUCUCUCAGAAAGGCACUUCUAAGAUGCUUGAGCAAAAACUGACUGCUGCUUAUGAUGUCUGUACUGGUUGAGUACCUGUACGGGUCUAAUACUGAGAAUGCAAACCUUAUGUGGUAGACAUAAACAUCAAGAUCUGAUGAGGUCAAACACAAUUUUUUAUUGCUUCAUGGAGCUUAGGAACUUAAUGAAUGCCCAUAUUCAAAAAGGAAAAAAAAGAGUGAGAAAAGAAGACUCUUUUAUAAAUUGUUAAAUGUUUUGGUCAGAGUAAGAUAUAGAAGAGACAUGGCUGUCACUUUUGAAUCAAAUUGAUAGAUCAAUUGAAUCAAGUGAAACAUGUCUGCCUAAACUGUGGGUGGUAUACAGGGGCCUGUAGACAAGUCAUACCUGAUUUAGACUAAAAUGUCUGGCCCUUGCCUGACCAAGCAACAAGGACAAUUUGAAGUAAUUGGCAAUGUCCCCUUCACAUGUAUGAGAUCCUGUAACUGAAUCAUGCAUUAUACUUUAUUCCAGCUGCCGUAUGAGCGACUUGGUGCGCACCCCGUAGUCUCCUCUGCAUUUUGUUCAGCUGUCAUAUAAGUGACCAGGCGCAUAACCCUAACUCUGUCAUCUACAUCAGUCGACUCCAGGAUAUUACGAGUCGACUCCAAGCGUAUCAGAAUCACUGGCACGGGCUCGAGUCGACUCCAGACCAGUACGA